GGCUCGCUAGUCAAGCGGUUAAGACGUCGCCCUCUCACGGCGAAGACAGGGGUUCGAUUCCCCUGCGGGCUA
rnacentral:tRNA from 1 species